rnacentral:rRNA from 1 species
GACAGAGGGUGCAGACGUUGUUCGGAAUUACUGGGCGUAAAGCGUGUGUAGGCGGCCGCGCAAGUCGGAUGUGAAAUCCCCGGGCUCAACCCGGGAAGGGCACCCGAAACUGCACGGCUUGAGUACCGGAGAGGUUGGUGGAAUUCUCGGUGUAGGGGUGAAAUUCGUAGAUAUCGAGAGGAACACCGGUGGCGAAGGCGGCCAACUGGACGAGUACUGACGCUGAGACACGAAAGCGUGGGGAGCAAACAGG